GAUGAACGCUGGCGGCGUGCCUAAUACAUGCAAGUCGAGCGAACGGACGAGAAGCUUGCUUCUCUGAUGUUAGCGGCGGACGGGUGAGUAACACGUGGAUAACCUACCUAUAAGACUGGGAUAACUUCGGGAAACCGGAGCUAAUACCGGAUAAUAUUUUGAACCGCAUGGUUCAAAAGUGAAAGACGGUCUUGCUGUCACUUAUAGAUGGAUCCGCGCUGCAUUAGCUAGUUGGUAAAGUAACGGCUUACCAAGGCAACGAUGCAUAGCCGACCUGAGAGGGUGAUCGGCCACACUGGAACUGAGACACGGUCCAGACUCCUACGGGAGGCAGCAGUAGGGAAUCUUCCGCAAUGGGCGAAAGCCUGACGGAGCAACGCCGCGUGAGUGAUGAAGGUCUUCGGAUCGUAAAACUCUGUUAUUAGGGAAGAACAUAUGUGUAAGUAACUGUGCACAUCUUGACGGUACCUAAUCAGAAAGCCACGGCUAACUACGUGCCACCAGCCGCGUUAUACGUAGGUGGCAAGGUUAUCCGGAAUUAUGGGCGUAAAGCGCGCGUAGCGGUUUUUUAGUCUGAUGUGAAAGCCCACGGCUCAACCGUGGAGGGUCAUUGGAAACUGGAAAACUUGAGUGCAGAAGAGGAAAGUGGAAUUCCAUGUGUAGCGGUGAAAUGCGCAGAGAUAUGGAGGAACACCAGUGGCGAAGGCGACUUUCUGGUCUGUAACUGACGCUGAUGUGCGAAAGCGUGGGGAUCAAACAGGAUUAGAUACCCUGGUAGUCCACGCCGUAAACGAUGAGUGCUAAGUGUUAGGGGGUUUCCGCCCCUUAGUGCUGCAGCUAACGCAUUAAGCACUCCGCCUGGGGAGUACGACCGCAAGGUUGAAACUCAAAGGAAUUGACGGGGACCCGCACAAGCGGUGGAGCAUGUGGUUUAAUUCGAAGCAACGCGAAGAACCUUACCAAAUCUUGACAUCCUUUGACAACUCUAGAGAUAGAGCCUUCCCCUUCGGGGGACAAAGUGACAGGUGGUGCAUGGUUGUCGUCAGCUCGUGUCGUGAGAUGUUGGGUUAAGUCCCGCAACGAGCGCAACCCUUAAGCUUAGUUGCCAUCAUUAAGUUGGGCACUCUAAGUUGACUGCCGGUGACAAACCGGAGGAAGGUGGGGAUGACGUCAAAUCAUCAUGCCCCUUAUGAUUUGGGCUACACACGUGCUACAAUGGACAAUACAAAGGGCAGCGAAACCGCGAGGUCAAGCAAAUCCCAUAAAGUUGUUCUCAGUUCGGAUUGUAGUCUGCAACUCGACUACAUGAAGCUGGAAUCGCUAGUAAUCGCAGAUCAGCAUGCUACGGUGAAUACGUUCCCGGGUCU
rnacentral:rRNA from 1 species